AAUAUUAAUAUUAUAUUACAAUUUGAUUAUUUGAUUAAAAAAAUAUUUUUGUUAAAAAAUUGAACCAAUAAUAAAAUGAAAAUUGUCAUGAUGGGUUGUAAAAAGUAUCUCAAGUGAGAAACUUUCUACACUCUCUCCUUCAUUUUCAUUAUUUUUAUUUUUUUAAUUGUGAGAAACUCUUAUGAAAUAUCCUCAAUGAAGAUGGUCUAAUAUUGAAAUUAGAAAA
rnacentral:sRNA from 1 species